CCUACGGGUGGCAGCAGUGGGGAAUAUUGCACAAUGGGGGAAACCCUGAUGCAGCGACGCCGCGUGAGUGAAGACGUAAUUCGUUAUGUAAAGCUCUAUCAGCAGGGAAGAAAAUGACGGUACCUGAGUAAGAAGCCCCGGCUAACUACGUGCCAGCAGCCGCGGUAAUACGUAGGAUCCGAGCAUUAUCCGGAGUGACUGGGUGUAAAGAGUUGCGUAGGUGGCAUAAUAAGUAGCUAGUGAAAUCUGGUGGCUCAAACAUUCAGACUAUUAGCUAAACUGUUAAGCUCGAGACCGUUAGGGGUAAGUGGAAUGUGUAGUGUAGGGGUGAAAUGCGUAGAUAUUAGAAGGAACACCGAUAGCGUAGGCAGGUUGCUGGGACGGUUCUGACACUAAGGCACGAAAGCGUAGGGAGCAAACGGGAUUAGAUACCCUGGUAGUC
rnacentral:rRNA from 1 species